AAGGCCAGGCGGCGGCCCUACACAUGCAAGUCGAGCGGUAGAGAGAAGCUUGCUUCUCUUGAGAGCGGCGGACGGGUGAGUAAUGCCUAGGAAUCUGCCUGGUAGUGGGGGAUAACGUUCGGAAACGGACGCUAAUACCGCAUACGUCCUACGGGAGAAAGCAGGGGACCUUCGGGCCUUGCGCUAUCAGAUGAGCCUAGGUCGGAUUAGCUAGUUGGUGAGGUAAUGGCUCACCAAGGCGACGAUCCGUAACUGGUCUGAGAGGAUGAUCAGUCACACUGGAACUGAGACACGGUCCAGACUCCUACGGGAGGCAGCAGUGGGGAAUAUUGGACAAUGGGCGAAAGCCUGAUCCAGCCAUGCCGCGUGUGUGAAGAAGGUCUUCGGAUUGUAAAGCACUUUAAGUUGGGAGGAAGGGUUGUAGAUUAAUACUCUGCAAUUUUGACGUUACCGACAGAAUAAGCACCGGCUAACUCUGUGCCAGCAGCCGCGGUAAUACAGAGGGUGCAAGCGUUAAUCGGAAUUACUGGGCGUAAAGCGCGCGUAGGUGGUUUGUUAAGUUGGAUGUGAAAUCCCCGGGCUCAACCUGGGAACUGCAUUCAAAACUGACUGACUAGAGUAUGGUAGAGGGUGGUGGAAUUUCCUGUGUAGCGGUGAAAUGCGUAGAUAUAGGAAGGAACACCAGUGGCGAAGGCGACCACCUGGACUAAUACUGACACUGAGGUGCGAAAGCGUGGGGAGCAAACAGGAUUAGAUACCCUGGUAGUCCACGCCGUAAACGAUGUCAACUAGCCGUUGGAAGCCUUGAGCUUUAGUGGCGCAGCUAACGCAUUAAGUUGACCGCCUGGGGAGUACGGCCGCAAGGUUAAAACUCAAAUGAAUUGACGGGGCCCGCACAAGCGGUGGAGCAUGUGGUUUAAUUCGAAGCACGCGAAGAACCUUACCAGCCUUGACAUCCAAUGAACUUUCUAGAGAUAGAUUGGUGCUUCGGAACAUUGAGACAGUGCUGCAUGCUGUCGUCAGCUCGUGUCGUGGAGAUGUUGG
rnacentral:rRNA from 1 species